rnacentral:rRNA from 1 species
GGGUAGCUAAGUCCGGAAUGGAUAAGCGCUGAAAGCAUCUAAGCGCCAAGCCAAUCCCAAGAUAAAUUUUCCCUUGAGAGUCGUGGAAGACCACCACGUCGAUAGGCUGGAUGUGUAAGUACGGUAACGUAUUGAGCUAACCAGUACUAAUUACUCGAUAGAUUUAGUCGUU